CAGCCGCCACGGUAAUACAGAGGGUGCAAGCGUUAAUCGGAAUUACUGGGCGUAAAGCGCGCGUAGGUGGUUUGUUAAGUUGGAUGUGAAAUCCCCGGGCUCAACCUGGGAACUGCAUCCAAAACUGGCAAGCUAGAGUAUGGUAGAGGGUGGUGGAAUUUCCUGUGUAGCGGUGAAAUGCGUAGAUAUAGGAAGGAACACCAGUGGCGAAGGCGACCACCUGGACUGAUACUGACACUGAGGUGCGAAAGCGUGGGGAGCAAACAGGAUUAGAUACCCCGGUAGUCCCUGUCUCUUAUAA
rnacentral:rRNA from 1 species